AUUUARGCCAUGCGAGUCAUKGUAGCAAUACAAGGCAGACGGCUCAGUAACGCGUAGUCAAUCUACCCUAUGGACGGGAAUAACCUCGGGAAACUGAGAAUAAUGCCCGAUAGAACAUUAUGCCUGGAAUGGUUUAUGUUUCAAAUGAUUUAUCGCCAUAGGAUGGGACUGCGGCCUAUCAGUUUGUUGGUGAGGUAAUGGCCCACCAAGACUAUUACAGGUACGGGCUCUGAGAGGAGUAGCCCGGAGAUGGGUACUGAGACACGGACCCAGGCCCUAUGGGGCGCAGCAGGCGAGAAAACUUUGCAAUGUGCGAAAGCACGACAAGGUUAAUCCGAGUGGUUUCUGCUAAAGAAACCUUUUGUCAGUCCUAGAAACACUAACGAAUAAGGGGUGGGCAAGUUCUGGUGUCAGCCGCCGCGGUAAAACCAGCACCUCAAGUGGUCAGGAUGAUUAUUGGGCCUAAAGCAUCCGUAGCUCGUUUUGUAAGUUUUCGGUUAAAUCCAUGCGCUUAACGUAUGGGCUGCCGGGAAUACUGCAUAACUAGGAAGUGGGAGAGGUAGACGGUACUCGGUAGGAAGGGGUAAAAUCCUUUGAUCUAUUGAUGACCACCUGUGGCGAAGGCGGUCUACCAGAACACGUUCGACGGUGAGGGAUGAAAGCUGGGGGAGCAAACCGGAUUAGAUACCCGGGUAGUCCCAGCUGUAAACUAUGCAAACUCAGUGAUGCAUUGGCUUGUGGCCAAUGCAGUGCAGGGAAGCCGUUAAGUUUGCCGCCUGGGAAGUACGUACGCAAGUAUGAAACUUAAAGGRAUUGGCGGGGGAGCACCGCAAGGGGUGAAGCCUGCGGUUCAAUUGGAGUCAACGCCAGAAAUCUUACCCGGAGAGACAGCAGAAUGAAGGUCAAGCUGAAGACUUUACCAGACAAGCUGAGAGGAGGUGCAUGGCCM
rnacentral:rRNA from 1 species